AAAUUGAAGAGUUUGAUCAUGGCUCAGAUUGAACGCUGGCGGCAGGCCUAACACAUGCAAGUCGAACGGUAACAGGAAGAAGCUUGCUUCUUUGCUGACGAGUGGCGGACGGGUGAGUAAUGUCUGGGAAACUGCCUGAUGGAGGGGGAUAACUACUGGAAACGGUAGCUAAUACCGCAUAACGUCGCAAGACCAAAGAGGGGGACCUUCGGGCCUCUUGCCAUCGGAUGUGCCCAGAUGGGAUUAGCUUGUUGGUGGGGUAACGGCUCACCAAGGCGACGAUCCCUAGCUGGUCUGAGAGGAUGA
rnacentral:rRNA from 1 species